UAAUAUAUGUAUACGGAUAAAGUUAUGAAAGGCAGCAGGGUCACCAGGGUGAGGAAUCCAUGUCAUCUGAAAUAAAUACUAAGCAUAGAUCUAGAAAGCGACUGAUAAUCAUGACAUUAAAAAAACUCUCUUCUUAUCGACGUUUUUCGAACAAAUUGACACAUAAAAUGAAUUAUAUAGUAUUGUGGAAUUUUUAACUUGUGCUCAAUUCAUUG
rnacentral:lncRNA from 1 species